UACAGAGGUCUCAAGCGUUGUUCGGAUUCAUUGGGCGUAAAGUGUGCGCAGGCGGCCGCGCAAGUCGGGUGUGAAAGCCCCGAGCUUAACUUGGGAAUUGCGCUCGAAACUACGUGGCUGGAGUGUGGCAGAGGAAGGUGGAAUUCCAGGUGUAGCGGUGAAAUGCGUAGAUAUCUGGAGGAACACCGGUGGCGAAGGCGGCGUUCUGGACUGUUUCUGACACUGAAAAACGAAAGCCAGGGGAGCAAACGGG
rnacentral:rRNA from 1 species